ensembl:lncRNA
UGAUGACAGACUUGUGCCUGAGACCAACUGAGAAAAAUAGAAAUUAAUGACACAGGCAGACGUGUGGCUUCUUCUGUCAGCGUCUUCCCAAGCAAUGACAAUUUAUUUCACAAUUUAGCAUAACCGUGACUUUGUCAAGGUGCCCACAGCUACUGUGGCGUACGUGAGAAGGACACCAUUGAAGAGGCCGGCGCUGCUUCUGCUACGGCUAACACAUGCUAAUAGACAUUUUUAAACACAUAUUGCAGUUAACUGAGUUAACAUACAAAAUCCAAGUCGACCUAACAUCACAGCACAUAACAAAACGAAUCACCAGAUCUCAACCCAAUAGAGCAUCUUUGGGAUGUGGUGGAACGGGAGCUGCGUGCCCUGGAUGUGCAUCCCACCAAUCUCCAUCAACUGGAAGAUGCAAUCCUAUCAAUAUGGGCCAACUUAUCUAACGAUUGCGUUCAGCACCUUGUUGAAUCAGUGCCACAAAGAAUUAAGGCAGUUCUGGAGGCGAAAGGGGGUCAAACACAGUAUUACUAUGGUGUUCCAAAUAAUCCUUUAGGAUCCUGUUUUCGUCCUCCAGGAAUGUCAUGUCUGCGGUAACCUUCAGAUCUUUCAUACAUUCAUUAAGACACUCUUGAAGGUGGCUUAUUUUCUCUUUGUCAGCAUUGGCCUGUGUGCGGAAUUUCUCCAUUGCAGUCAGCGAUUUUUUCUCCUGUAUCCCGUAGUUCACUUACCAGCUCCAUCAGACAGGAGAUCUCCUUGUUUGCUUCUGUUAGAGCAAUUUUCAGAUUUGGUACUUUGAGGGCUGGCGCUAUAUGUCCCUGAGGACGCCCAGACUCAACCCUUUUGUUGUUUCUUCCAGCCAUAAUAUGGUUUGACGCAGACUGUAGGGGUAGGAAAAAUGCUGAUGACUAUAAAAGACCAGAUCAGCAUUUUCAUCAAUACGGAUUGAAAAUUGGCAAAAUAUUCAUAGAUUCAGACUUGAUUUUACUAAUACGGACCGUUCUGCGAGCUAGACGCAUUGGUCUUAAGGUGCGGCCGGAGGAGUGCCAGUAAUGAUGAUAAAUUAUGGUUGUAGCUGGUUGUCAUCUACGGGCCGCAUGAACCUGAUUUGCGCUCUCGAAUUUUGACAGUGAUUUGCCGCCGUAACAUUUUUAUUUGUUUGAUUAUUUACUUGUGCACAGUUUUAAACUGAUCAGCUGAGAUUCCAACAGUGUUAACCCUAGACUAACCUUCUAUUUCUAUUGUCUGGUGGAGAGCUUUGCUACAGUAGAUAGUAGAUAUCCAGUAGAUAGGAUAGAAAGGCUCUGGAGAGCCUUUCUACCCUAUACUUGAUCUCUUCUACACCAUCUUUACCAACCUUGAGGGAGAAAAUAAAAUUCAUCUCUAUGCUCUGCACUGGUGCUUUGUUCCCGAACAGAAACAUCUUCAGGUUAUCCGGGGUGGCUGGACCUGCUACGACUACGUACCGAGGGAAACCAGCAUUUAUUUAUACAUGUAUUUCUGCAUCUACAUUAAUUCAUGUAUUUAUUAAUUUAUACUUAAGUCAUUUUUGUCCUACAUACAGCAGUUCAUUGAUGUUUUUUUAAUGCAUUUGCACAUGAUUAUACUGGC